CUUUGUGCCAGGUUACUUUUUAUGCAUUGGAGAAAUAAUCUUAUGACUGACUCAGAUAUUGACAUAACCUUUGCCAACUAUCUUUGCCCGAUAGAUUUUAUAAAAAUCAUAUGUCAAGCUUAAAUAACAAUUCUUCCUCUUGUUUAAUGAUGUCAUCACAGUGGCAUGUUUAAGAGUGUAAGAUUUGUGAGAACAGGAAAUUAUGUGAAUGUUUGCACUUUUUUGUUAACUGUUGUAUUGGAUUAUUUCAUUUGAGAUAUGGCUGUUUUUGUUUUGCUUCUUUUGAUAUGCAAGUUCAUGUGCCAUAUAUGUGUGGUGUAGACACUACUAGUUACUUACGCAAUGUUCAUUCUCUCUCCUUCUCUACUAACAGAGCCCUAAUUUGUUUAGAACUGUAAUGUGCACAGUUAAAACAACUUGUCCUCCCAGGACCUUUUGCAGUUAGGGUUGGUCGUGUGACAUGGUCCUGCGAAGAAGAUACGGAUAGAAGUCUGUGGGCCACCAGUGGAUUGAAUGAUGCCCAUAUGCACUGAGAAGGGCCAUGUGUUUACUCGGUCUACCAAUUCAAAUGUUAAUCUCAUCCAAAAACACCCUCACAGAUACGUUUGGAAUGAUGUUUAACCAAAUAUUUGGGUACCGUCUUCCCCAGUGAAGUUGACACAAAAUUAACCAUCACAGCUGCCUUCCUCUGGGCCUCAUGUUAUAUGAGAACAGUAUUGGGUAAGUUGGGUUUCCAUUAUAUUCUGCUCAACUCAGUCUCCA
rnacentral:lncRNA from 1 species